AAUUUUUUUAACUUUCAGUUUCACUUACUUUUCUAGCAAAUGCAGCUGGCUAGUUUAGUUACUCAAACACCCGGCUCAAACAGAGGGAUGCUAUGUUAGCUAGCUGUCUUUGACUAUCCAACACAACACUGAAACUCUUCCAAGUCAAGGGCUGGCCCACGUCGGGCGAAAUGUAAGGAAAAUGGCGCGGGACAGCUUCAAGAAAACAGUCGCUUUCAAACUAGGGAUUUUCUGGCUAAUUGAGGGACAGGCCGAGAUAUGUGGUGGCAAUCGAUAACCCUCACAAUUAGUUCCUCUUCGGGGGGGAUGUGGUCCCCGGCACAGCUGGACAGGAGCAGCGUGGAGCACCGUGGAGCACAGUGUGCCCCUGCAUCCUGCCAACCACAUGUCCUGACGUUAGUCACCUCCUCCUGG
rnacentral:lncRNA from 1 species